AAUCCAUUAGAAGAGUCACAUAGAGAAUGAAUUCUACUGUCUUCUAAGAUUUAAAAGUCAAUCAUCAAUAUUUUAUCCCUGUAACAACAAUCAAUAUAAAUCUUUAAUCAUCUUUGCACUAUAGGCCAAAGAUAUUUAUUUGUAUCACCAGUUGGUCAUGUUCAUCUCAACACCUGUUCAUCUUUGCACUACAGGCCAAAGAUAUUCAUCAGUUAAUCGUUCAUCUUUGCACUACAGGCCAAAGAUAUUCAUUUAUAUCACCAUUUAGGACUGAG
rnacentral:lncRNA from 1 species